UUGAUUGUCCACAAUGUCCAUCAUCUAUGGGCCAUCUUCAACAUCAUAAACUUGAGAAGAGGGCACCUGGGUGGCUCAGGGGUUGAGCAUCUGCCUUUGGCUCAGGUUGUGAUCCUGGGGUCCUGGGAUUGAGUCCCAAAUUGAGCCUGCUUCUGUCUGUGCCUCUCUGUCUCUCAUGAAUAAAUAAAUAAAAUCUUAAAGGAAAUAUUGAGAAGAAAAUCAGAAACAAAACUGUUGAACAACGAUGGCCAACAAUUAUGUGUCCUAGAAGAACAUCAGUGGUAAGUGGUCUCUAAGACAAUCCGCAAUGAUCCCUGCCUCCUCGUGUUCAUGUCUUUGUGUGACCCUGCCCCUUGAAUGUGGGCUGCACCUGGAGACUCACUUCUAAGGAACAGGAGAUGAGAACUAUGACGGCCGUUUCUGGAUUAGGUUACAAAACAUUGGCUUCCAGCUUUGGCAACUACCUGUUGUUUUCUUGCUCGCUUGGUCGGAGAGAAGCCAGCUGCCAUGCUGUAAGCUGCCCUGUGGACACCUGUGCAAGGAAGUGAGAGAGGCCUCCAGCCCAUAGCCAGGGAGGACCUAGUGAACCAGUGAGGAACUAGGCCCUCAGUUCAACAGCCUGUGAGGAACCAAAUCCUGCCCAUAACCACAUGAGUGGGUUAAGAAGUGGAUCCUGCUCCAAACAAACCUUCAGAUGUGUCCUCACCCCAAGCCACAGUGUGACUGCAAACUCAGGAAAGACCUUCAGCCAGAGGUACAGCCAAGCCAUAUCUAAAUUCCUGAUUCCUGACACUGAGAAGACAAAUGUUUUCUGUCUCAAGCUGCUAACUUUUGAGUUAGAUUCACCAUGUGGAUAGUUCUAUCCAGUGGAAUGCCACAUCUGUACACCGUGUGUCUAAACACGGAAUACUCUAUGGAGACUCUGAAAGCCCUCUGAUGUCAUGUUGCAAAAAAGCAAUAGUCUCCUGGUGCCAAUCCAUGCCUACCCUACAAAAAAUGCAUGAGAAUGCCUGAAUUUAUUCAUCCAUAUGCUAAUCAACGAAUUCAAUAAAUAUGUAUGGAGUGCCUGAUAUGUGAUAGGCUUCUUGGUUUCACUGAUGGUUGAGCUUAUGGUAUUUGGUGCAAGUCAAGUACAUUCCUGGCCAUUUUAAUUUUUCAGAAUCAUCUGUGACAUAUUAACAUAUUGGGGAAGCUGAGAAGUUAAGUGCUGAAGCUUUAAACAGUUGUAGAAUAAAUUCUGUGGUAAUGAUGAUGUUACAUUUACAGUAUAAAUGUUAAUCAAAGGAUUCACUCAAAAUCCUUGUUAAAAAAAUACCACCAUAACGUAUGCGUGUCCACCCUCUGGCCCUGGAAACUCUUGUUCUUAAACUUUAGGCAAAACACGGUCUUUGAUUUUUCCUAAUUUUAUCCCAGAAAAUGCAAGCCACCAAAAUGUUCUAUUAUUCUCUCUGCACUAUGUGAUUAUGUUUGCCGGUGGCUUGGAAAUGAAUCAGUUGGCCUGUUCUAGGAAGGAUCUCUUUAAAAGCAAACCAUGGAAUAAUAUUAGAGUGUAUUGUUUGAUGACAGUCAGCGGCUGGCAAGGCUGUGUGCCCUGAAACAAGGAGACUGCCAGGUGCCACCAACCCGAGUCCCAGGUGCUGAGUGAUUUGUGGAAUGGCAGUGCUUUCCCUGCGCUCAUCUACAUGUCAUGGCAGGACACCCUGUGCCAGCAGCUCAUUUAUCAGGAACUAGCACCAUUCGCAUUGAUAAUGUCUGCAAUUAGAGCCUAUUAGUCCUGAUUGAAAGUGAGGGAUCAAAGGUGUUAUGUAAUUUGAGAAAGGAGAAACAACAUCUGGAGUCCUGUCAUCUUGGUGAGAGAGACGGGAAUGAAAUUCUGGGAAGAAGUAAAUGUGAGCUUCUGUAAACAAGAAGUUGUGGAGUGAUUUCUUUAGGGAUUGAAUUUCAUGCUAGCUUUAGAGAUAUUUAACCGUACUAGCUAGCGUGUGUUGAGUGCCACAAGGAUUGUGCUCCAUGUUGACUUGUGAGACCUCGCUGAAAACUUACCACAGCCCUGUGAGAAGUAAUAGGAGCAUUGCCCCUUUCCAUUUGGAGCUCUAUAAACAGGGAUGGACUGAAUAAGUCACGUAUCCAUACAAUGCCCAAGGAUGUGGAAGCCGAAGCUAGCACUGCUGAUGAGCAUGAUGCUAGACAUUAGUCUUGGGUGUCCUACUUCUCCAUUCACGUCUCUUUAUGCUAUAGUACAUUGCCAGCUCACCAACAGCAACACAGGGGAUGAAGGACCCUGAAGUUCCAUGAACAAUAGGAAGAAGGACUAGCUUAAUAUAAGAGGUCAAGGUGCUCAUCAAUGUGAUGUAUUAAGGAUGAGCUGCUUGGGUAGUCCCAGAUCUUUUCUGCUAUUUGCUAACUGAUGUCUGAAAUUCCACAGCCUCAAACAUUAGGCUCUAAUCCUGUCAAAGCAUUUUCCCCCUUCCUGUUAACAUGAAU